GACGAACCGUACGAACGUUAGGCGGAAUCACUGGGCUUAAAGCGUGUGUAGGCGGAUGCCUAAGUACCUUGUGAAAUCCCACGGCUCAACCGUGGAACUGCUUGGUAUACUGGGUGUCUUGAGCUAUCUAGGGGCAACUGGAACAAACGGUGGAGCGGUGAAAUGCGUAGAUAUCGUUUGGAACGCCAAUGGUGAAAACAGGUUGCUGGGGAUAUGCUGACGCUGAGACACGAAAGCCAGGGGAGCAAACGGG
rnacentral:rRNA from 1 species